rnacentral:rRNA from 1 species
CCUACGGGAGGCAGCAGUGGGGAAUAUUGCACAAUGGGGGAAACCCUGAUGCAGCGACGCCGCGUGAGAGAUGAAGUAUUUCGGUAUGUAAAGCUCUAUCAGCAGGGAAGAAAAUGACGGUACCUGACUAAGAAGCCCCGGCUAACUAAGUGCCAGCAGCCGCGGUAAUACGUAGGGGGCAGGCGUUAUCCGGAUUUACGGGGUGUAAAGGGAGGGGAUACGGCUGUGCAAGCCAGAUGUGAAAGCCCGGGGCUCAACCCCGGGACUGCAUUUGGAACUGUGUGGCUAGAGUGUCGUAGAGGCAGGCGGAAUUCCUAGUGUAGCGGUGAAAUGCGUAGAUAUUAGGAGGAACACCAGUGGCGAAGGCGGCCUGCUGGACGAUGACUGACGUUGAGGCUCGAAAGCGUGGGGAGCAAACAGGAUUAGAUACCCGAGUAGUC